GCCUCUUGGGAUGAUUAAAGAAAACUUUCGUUCUUCUGAGGUGAUCCAUCCAUGCGGAAAAUUUGUGGAGACAUGAACUGAAGAGGU